GCAAACUAAUGUUAGAAAACUAGAUGGGCAUUUGAAAACUCAGACUUAAUGCAAUGGAAAGCAGAACUGUGAAUUAGCUGCAUUUAUAUUCUCAAAAGAAUAUCUAGAAAAUUUAAGUUUUCCCACAUUGCUAUUGUUUCCUAUAAAACCAGUUACAUCUGGUUUUAUGUGUGAACUCUGAUUGUACGAUUUCUCAUUUCAUAUAACUUUUGCAAUCAUUUUUAGCAGCAAGUAAAUUUGGUCGUUUACAAAAUGAAAUAUUUUAAAAAAUGUACGCCGAUCUUUUCCCUGCUAACGAGCGUCGUAAAUUAUUAACUGAAUACAAACGGGAAAUAAUACAUCUGAAACAAAUUAAGAGUGAGAUUUACUAAGAAAUCAGACAUGACAUUAAAUUUUAUUGUUUUCAGCUGAGGUAAUUAUUUUAGUAAGCUGACUGGGGAAUGGAAUUUUUAAAGGAAUAGUUAGAAGGAUUACUUAUAAUUGCUUCAGUCAUAUUCAUCUCUAAAUAGAGUUCAAUUCUAGAGAACAAAGCUUCAUUUGUAAAAUGUCUAUCUAACAAUAUUGCAUAUUAAAAGAAUUUGUCACUUUUAAACUACUAAAUGUUUAAUCUAGGUAAAACACAAUAAGCUUUCACAUUAAAAAAAUCUGCGUUUCGAAAAUAUGCAGGUUGGUAAAAUACAUUUGAACGCUUUUCUUACAUUUGUCUACAGCGGGACAUAUGCUUGAUAUUUGCACUCUGUUAGAAGGCGAGAUCUUUGCAUAUAUUCUUAAUGAAAGUCUAUAGGCCUUUUUUGUCUUUUGAGUAGUAGAUCACAGGAAAACGAAUAAUUACAACUUUGUAAGUGAAGAAUUUCUGUCAUAAGUCGAUGAGACUACUCGGAAUUAGUAUACAUUCAGUAGCUUUGAUUUUUUAAGCAAUGAUUUUCAUUCAGAAUAUUUCAAGAUUUCCUUAAAUAUAAAUAAAAAUAAAAAUGUAUGUUAAUAUCCAUAACUACGCAAAACUGUACCUUGAUAAUUAAAAUCGAAUGGUUUGGAACUCAAAUAAGACUAAGGUAAUGAAUUCAGAGUUAUGUAUACUGAAGUGAAAAACUAAAGUGUCACUUAAACGAACGGGAUUAUUCUUUACGUUUAAAAAAAAAUUAAAUUCGGAAAAUAUUUUUCCAUUUUUGUAGCUUAUAAUUACAAAAGUAAGUUUUGUUAAUUAUUUUAUUCAAAACUAGGGAACGAGUAAAAAGGGAGCUAAUACAUAACUGUGUAAAUGUAUAUGAAUUUGAAACUAAAUUUUCAUAAGUUUGUAUUAUUUUGAUGAUUUGUUUUCACAAUGCACAAAAUUCGAGGGGAUAUUUUUAUGUUAUUAUAGCUUUGAAAAUAAUUUGAGGAAGCUAAUUUUCAUUAAAGAAAUUUCUCGGAGUUUUCGAAAAUGAGGCUAUGUUCUGAAGUUUCCUCUGCUAUGUUCAGACAUACUGCAAACAUGUUCAGUCAGGCUCAAUUCCAGGAAGUGAUACCCGUCGAAAACAUCGCGGAGAAGAACGUUGCGGGGAAAACAACGCAGGAAAAACGUCGUCGUCGUACUACAUGGAAGAAAAGAAAGCAAAGAGAAAACAUCGUUGUAUGAAACAAAGUGAAAUGAAAAUUGAAGAAUGAAGAUGGUGAAAAACAUAUUUGACUAAAGUCUGAGUGAGCGAGCGCACCGCUAAGAUGGCUUCCAACCACGGAAAUGAACCAAACGGAAUUGUAUACCAUCCCAACGAGUCAAUCUCUGUCGAAAUAUGAGCAAAAUUUAUCCUUUUUUUUUUGUUCAUGAAAAUGUAAAGAUCAUUGUGAA
rnacentral:lncRNA from 1 species